UUUUAUUUGAGAGUUUGAUCCUGGCUCAGGAUGAACGCUGGCGGCGUGCCUAACACAUGCACGUUGAGCGAUUUACUUCGGUAAAGAGCGGCGGACGGGUGAGUAACGCGUGGGUAACCUACCCUGUACACACGGAUAACAUACCGAAAGGUAUGCUAAUACGGGAUAAUAUAUUUGAGAGGCAUCUCUUAAAUAUCAAAGGUGAGCCAGUACAGGAUGGACCCGCGUCUGAUUAGCUAGUUGGUAAGGUAACGGCUUACCAAGGCGACGAUCAGUAGCCGACCUGAGAGGGUGA
rnacentral:rRNA from 1 species